rnacentral:misc_RNA from 1 species
CAACCCUCAAGCCCCCGGGCUUGGUGUUGGGGCUCGGCCCGUCCCUAGCGGAUGCGCCGUCCCCGAAAUCUAGUGGCGGUCUCGCUGUAGCCUCCUCUGCGUAGUAGCUAACACCCCGCAACGGGAACGCAGCGCGGCCACGCCGUUAAACCCCCCACUUCUGAA